CCUGAGGUCUAUCCCGACAGACCUUUAACUGUAGGGUCAUGUCGUUGGAAAUGCCUCACAGACUAUAUCUGUGGUUGUGCUUUACCCAUGUGUUCACUAUCUUGGACAUUGUGGGAUAUCACUGCAGAACAUUU
ensembl:snoRNA small nucleolar RNA SNORA18